rnacentral:rRNA from 1 species
UACGUAGGCAGCAAGCGUUGUUCGGAGUUACUGGGCGUAAAGGGUGCGUAGGCGGCUUUUUAAGUUUGGUGUGAAAUCUCCGGGCUCAACUCGGAGCCUGCACGAGAAACUGCCGGGCUUGAGUGUGGGAGAGGUGAGUGGAAUUCCUGGUGUAGCGGUGAAAUGCGUAGAUAUCAGGAGGAACACCUGUGGCGAAAGCGGCUCACUGGACCAUAACUGACGCUGAUGCACGAAAGCUAGGGGAGCAAACAGG